UACGGAGGGUGCAAGCGUUGUCCGGAUUUAUUGGGUUUAAAGGGUGCGUAGGCGGCCCGUUAAGUCAGUGGUGAAAGCCUCCAGCUCAACUGGAGAACUGCCAUUGAUACUGACGGGCUUGAGUACAGACGAGGUUGGCGGAAUUGAUUGUGUAGCGGUGGAAUGCGUAGAUAUCGGGAGGAACACCAGUGGCGAAGGCGGUUGCCUGGAGCUUUGCUGACGCUGAUGCGCGAAAGCGUGGGGAGCGAUCCGG
rnacentral:rRNA from 1 species